rnacentral:rRNA from 1 species
CCUACGGGAGACAGCAGUGGGGAAUAUUGCACAAUGGGGGAAACCCUGAUGCAGCGACGCCGCGUGAGCGAUGACGUCCUUCGGUAUGUAAAGCUCUAUCAGCAGGGAAGAAAAUGACGUUACUUGUCUAACAAGCCCCGGCUAACUACGUGCCAGCAGCCGCGGUCUUACGUAGGGGGCACGCGUUAUCCGGAUUGACUGGGUGGAAGGGGGGCGUAGACGGCUGUGCAAGCCAGAUGUGAAAGCCCGGGGCUCAACCCCGGGACUGCAGUUAGAACUGUGUGGCUGGAGUGUGGGAGAGGCAGGCGGAAUUCCUAGUGGAGCGGUGAAAUGCGUAGAUAUUAGGAAGAACACCAGUGGCGAAGGCAGCCUGCUGGAAGAUGACUGACGUUGAGGCACGAAAGCGUGGGGAGCAAACAGGAUUAGAUACCCUGGUAGUC